rnacentral:misc_RNA from 1 species
AACGCACAUUGCGCCCUCUGGUAUUCCGGAGGGCAUGCCUGUUCGAGCGUCAUUUCACCACUCCAGCCUGGCUGGGUCUUGGGUCGUCGCGAGCGCGCGCGCCUUAAAGUCUUCUGGCUGAGCCGUCCGUCUCCAAGCGUUGUGCAAACGAAUCGCUUUAGAGUCCGGGCGGCCCGGCCGUUAAAUAUCCAUUCAAGGUUGACCUCGGAUCAGGUAGGGAUACCCGCUGAACUUAA